AGUUGAAUUAGGGUUUCCUUGGGAAACAAUCCUCCAGCCCUUUGGUUUAUCUUGAUCAAAUUGACAAAUUGAGAUACUUGGAAGGCAUAUAUGAUGAUUGAGAUCUUUGUGAACCAUUUUUAUGCUUGCUUUUAACUUCAUCUGGCCAUUCUUUGAGCAUAGGGGCCUCAUAGGAGCCUUGGAUCACAUGCUUUCUUGAGCUACAAGACAAAAGAUGUUAGUGACAUAUUUUUGCGCUUUUGGUUAGUAAACAAAAUGAGAAAAGCAAUAAUAUACAAUUCAAGCAUGCUUGGUGGUCUCAAACCAACUAACACAAGUCCCACCCUAGGGUUAAGGAGCCAAGAUGCUAUGAUCCUUGAGGCAAAUGCAAUGUGCAAUGAUAAGAUGCCAUGAGGGAUCUUAGGGUCAAAAUUAGGGUCUUACAGUUGUGAGACAGGGGGUAAUUAAAAAAGGAAAAAUACAUCUGAAAGAUGUAAAACCUCAUAGGGCCCUUAUAGUAUGAAAGUUAUGGAGAGAACUAACACAUUCAUCCACAACUUUGAUGUGUACACCACCAGUGAAGUAUAAACCAAAGAGAGGAGUUAAGAAGAGUAGAAAGGAUGUAGAGAGUGAUGUGCAUCAUGAUCCUUCAUAGUGGGAGCCUGGUGAGGGCUCGCAGGGGAGUCAAACUACAAAGAGAUCAUGCAAGAAACUAACAGGAAUUCAACCUUCAAGUCUGCCAGGUCAAAGUUACCCAUCAAGUAUGUCAGGUCAAAGUCAACCGACAAUUGCAUCUUCGAGGCAUCUUUACUUGUCUCAAUUUCCUAGUUUCUUGCAUCCCUACAUUGAUGACAUUGUUGAUGUGGGUGACGAUGGAAAUUGUAAUUUUCGCAUUAUUGCAACUUUACUUGGAUGGGGCGAAAAGUCAUUGUCGUUGGUUCAGACGCAGUUAAAUACUCAAGUUCAUCAACACCCUAAAUUGUUUUCCAAUUUAUUUUGUGACACGGUCUCUGAAGUUAGAAAUGCCUUAAAACUAGAACACUUGGGUGUGCAAGGUCGAGAAAAAUGAAUGAUGAUUCCAGAUAGGGGUUACCCUAUUGCUAGUAGGUACAAUGUCAUAUUUGUCUCGCUAUCAAAGAGACUUAACAUUUCUUUUUUCCCCCUUACAUUGGCUCCCUCUAUGUAUACGUGCAACAUAAAAUUGAAACCUGAUAGUCUAUUACAACCAAUCACUGACCGUUGGAGACAGAAUUAUACUGAAGAUGCAAAAGCAUGGGAAUCAACAUAUACAUGCCGAAUUAGGCACUAGGAAGAUGAAGUUAGGAAAUCAUUUUAAGUAGUAUUGAAAUCUUGUACGUAGAACAACUUUUGUGGUAAAUAUGUAUCUAUUAUAUAUGAUAACUUUUUAAUCGAACCAUUUAUGGAGGUCAUUGCACCAAAAAAAUUGAAAUUUCAUGUUUUUGAGAAUUCUGGGAGUAUAUUGGAAAUUUGACAUAAUUUGAAAUUUCAGGUAUACCUGAAAUUCAAAAUUUUCGGGACUUUUAACCAUUUUAUGCAAAAGUCGUGAUUUCCAGUAUAACUCUUUUGGAAAAUUUGAAAUUUCCAAUAAAUGCUUUUCGGAAAUUUGAAAUUUCCGGUACCUAUCUUACAACAGCGGUAAAAACAUGUAAGUUCACAACAAAAAAAUAGUAUUCGCUUAAAGUUUCCGGUACGAAGCUGGAAAUUUCAAAAAUUCCAAAUUUUUUACAAGGAUAUCAUGGUCAUUUCUCUUUAGUUAGGGGGGUGGGGUCAGGUUUAAUUGGGGGGUGUCAAGUUAAAUUCUCUUUAGAGAGGAUGCCCGCUGAUUAUGAGUUGUAUGAGCAUUUACUAUGACAGUUCUUUUCGUGAAAGGUGGACCCAUGUAAAGUGAUUAUGUGUAUUUUUAUGCUUUCGUUAAAAUUAGAACGAAUCAUAAUUACUAUGUUAUUAUGAUUUUUUAUUUCUUAUGUGCAUUUAUGUAAAACUCAAAUGAAAAAGGUUAAAAUAACCUUACAUAUUGGGAACAAUAAUGACUAAACAUACAUAAGAAUCAUAACACACUAAAAAUUAAAAAAUAUUAAAUUUUUGGUGCACAAGAUGAAGCAGCUGAAGAUGGAAUAAGAGAGAGAAUAGAGAUAAUUUAAAUAACAAACUUCCACAACUUUUCAAAACAGUUACAGUAAAUGGUUACACAAUACUCUAUUGACAACUACACAUGUUUAUAUAUACAAACAAUAAUGCCACGCAGGCGAAAAUGCUAACCUACAUUAGCUAAGUUAUGCUUAACAAAACUAAUACUAAUAUUGAAUAUCUAUUAUUUCUAACAUUAUACCUUAUUUCAUAUUCAACUAAUCAAAAUUAACAACACAAAUUCCAUUCGUUAAGUGGAUAAAAUGAUGAGUCUUGAUCGCUUUUGUCAGAACAUCUGCAAGUUACUUCUGGGUGCUACAUCGUAUAACUUCUACCACUCCAUUGUAAACCUGACUUUUAAGAAAGUGAUACUUAGUAUCAAUAUGAUUUCUCCUCCCAUGCAACACUAGGUUCUUGGCAAGAUUGAUUGCAGACUUGUUAUCAAUCAUCAACUUCAGAGGCUUGUUUACCUUGAUCUUCAGAUCCUACAGUAAAUUCAGAACGCAAAUAGUUUGACAUGAAACCACAACACCUAUAAUGUAUUCAACAUCACAGGUUGAUAAAGCAAUAACGGGUUGCUUCUUGGAACACCAAGAAAUAUGACCUCCUAGAUACUUGAACAAAUAUCUAGAAAUACUUCUUCUUUCAACUCUAUCUCCACACCAAUCAGAGCCUGGGUAACACAUCAACUAUGAAUUAGCUUUUUCACCAGAAGGGAACAACACUCCAUACUACAUAGUCCCUUUAAUAUACCUCAGAAUCCUGACAACAACUUGGUAAUGAGACCACUUCGGGUUACUCAUGAACCUACUAACCAUUCCAACUGCAUAGCAAAUAUCUGCUCUGGUAUUACACAAAUACUUCAGAGAGACACCCAAAUGAUUGAAAUUUGUAGCAUAUACAUCAUCACCUUCAGGGUCAGAACCCAAUUUAUGAUUUGUUUCUGAAGGUGUGACAACGGCCUUACAAUCCAGCAACUCAAAUAUCUUCAGAAGCUCAAGUUCAUACUUCAACUGAUGCAAAAUGAUACCCUUCUCGAAGUACAAAAUCUACAUCCCUAGAAAGUAUAUCAUAUUUCCCAUAUCAAUCAUCUCAAACUCAUUCAUCACCACCUUCUUGAACUUCAUUAUCUCAUCUGAACAACUUCCUGUCAGCAAUAUGGCAUUAAUAUAUAGACACACCAAAAUCAUAUUUCCUUCAGAAGGAUACUGAACAUAAACGUCUUACUCCAUCUCAGACUUUCUGAAUCUUUGGAGCUUGAAAAAUGAAUUUAUUUUUAGAUUCCAAGCUCUAGGAGCUUGUUUCAGUCCAUACAACGCUUUAUGUAACAUGUACGCCAUCCCUUCCCGAUUCUUAAAUCCAGGAGGUUGUGACAUAUAUACCACUUCUUGCAAUGGACCGUUCAGAAAUGCAGAUUUCACAUUUAAAUGCAUCAGAGGCCAAUUCCUGUUAGCAGUUAUCAUAAUCACCAGUUUGAUUGUCUCAUGUCUUUCUCGGGAGAAAACACCUCAUAGUAGUCUAACCCGGUUUCUAUAGAAAAACUCUUUCCAAUGACCUUGCUUUGUAUUGGCCAAUUGAUCCAUUUGGCUUCAGUUUCACCUUGAAAAACCAUCUGACGCUGAUGGAUUUCUUGUCCUUUGGAAGCUCAGUAAACUCCCAAGUUUUGCUUCUUUCUAUAGCCUUAAGUUCUUCUUUCAUGGCCUUCACCCAUGCUUUCUUCUUGAGCACUUCUUCAACAUUAAAUGGUUCAGAUUCUACUAACAUGGAACACUGAAUGACUUCUCCCUCAAAGUCUAUUUCAGUAUCUUGUAUCAUGUCAAACUCUGCAAAUCUUAUUGGAAUGUUUCUGAUUCUUUGUGGCCUCUGAACUUGUUCAGAAUCUUCUUCGGGCGCUGGAACAGUCUCAUAGUUGGAACCCCAUAAGUACCACCUUCAGAGGCAUGACCACCUUUAGAGUGUGGAAUAUUUCUAGAGUAUGGAUUUCCACCAGAGUUAGAAUCUCCAUCAGGAUCAGAUUCACCUUUAGAGUCAGACUCGCCUUCCGAGUCACUAUCAGACUUUGAAUCACCUUUAGAGGCAGAAUCCCUUUCAGAAGCAGAUUCUCCUUAAGAGUUGCCUUUUGAUUAUGACUCAUCUUUAGAAGUUAACUCACCAGAGUUGGAUUGAAAUUUGUUUCAAUCCCACACUUAUGUUUUUUUCACAAUGACAUCUCCGUUGAACUCAACCUUGUUAAUGACAGGAAAGUAGAGCUUAUAAGCACAUGUAUUGUGGUACCCUAAAAGCAAUAUAACUUUGCUUCUGUCAUUCGACUUCACUCUCUUAGCAUCUAGAACAUGUUUGUAAUAAAUAGAAUCAAACACCUUCACAUGGAUCACACUUUGCUUAUCUCUAGUCUACAUCUCUAAUGGAACAAUUUCCUUCAGCUUUUUGGUUGGACACCUGUUGAGCACAUAUGUUGCAGUGGUAACAGCUUCUCCCCACAAGGUGUAAGGAAGUUUUUUCUCCUUCAGUAGACUCCUUGUUGUCGUACCCCAGUUUUGUCCAGGCAUUUUCAAAUUUUCGUAAAUUUGAUUUCAUUUUCAAUUUGCAUCAUAUGCAUAGCAUGACAUGCAUUUCAUUAUGAAUAAUACCUAAGAUAUCAGUCGGAAUAAAUUAUUGAAAAUACAGACAAAUUGGUUAAAUCAUUUCUUAAGAACGUGCAAAAUCAGCGGGUAAAAAAUUUCAAAAUUAAAAAUCGCAGAUGCCAAUAUUAUUAAUUUACGGUUCACGUAGUUUAACUUGGUGUGCUCGUUAUAUUUUUCAGUGACUUUUUCAGUUGCAUUUUGACCCGUCUGAGUCUUUCAACCAGUAAAAAUUUAUUUCAGAAUUUGAAGAAACGCUGUAUUUUUUCAAUAAGUAUAUUUCAUGCUGAUCAUUUUAGUGCAUCCGAUUUAAUUUUUCGAGCAAAUUUUCAUCCGACUUCUAUUUAUAAUCGGUCAUUUUAUUUCUUUGUUCAAGUAUCCAAAUUAGAGAUUGUUUUAUUAUUAUUAUUAUUACUAUUAUUAUUAUUAUUAUUAUUAUUAUUAUUUAAAUUGAAAUGGUAUUUAGAAAUUUUUAAUAAGCAUUUUUCUUUAAUAAUAGAUAAUAAUAAUAAUUGUUGUCAAAAGAAAAUAUAUCAGCAUCGGAUUCCUUGACAGCUAGCAAGAUUCACUCUUAUCCCUAUUGGAUUUCUUUUGGCUGAAAUGGAAAUCCCUUCCAAUCAGUGGAGGACACGUAACCACAUGGUCCCCCACUCUCAAUGGUCAUCUCUCUCUUAAUCCUCCCUCUUUCCACUCAUAAUAGGGGCUAACACGAAAAAGAAAAAAAAGAAGAAAAAGUUGAGCACGAAAAAGAAGAUGGAAAAACUCACUCACCUCACGUCUCUCUCUCUCCCCCACUCAUUUUACUCCACCCACUCUUCUCUCUCUCUCUCUUUCAUAAUAAUGACUAACCCUCUUCUCUUUCUGAUCACUCAAAUUCUCUUUUCAAAAAAAUAAUAAAACGAAAAGAACAAAACUCUUCAUCUUCCUUUCUCUCCACCUCACCUUCUUCCAUCACCAUCACAAAUCUGACUCUCCAAGUAAAUCUUCAUCUUCGCUUCUCCACCUUUGUUUAACCUAACGAAACACCGCGCGCCGCCGCGAUUACAUGCACAACCAAGCACUUCCCUCCUCUCACACACCCUUCACGAUAACCAUCCUUCAUUUUCCGAUAACCCAAACCCUCAGUCACCGGCGAAACCCUCAGAGCAACCACCAUCUCCGUCCGCGUCAAAGCAACGACCUCCAUACCUCCGUCCUCCAUCGAAAUGCGCCACGAUCCGAAUCACACAAACAACCUUCACAACCAUGACAAUACCACAUCCCUUGAUGUUUUCUAGAUGAUUGAAAGCGUUUUAAAAUUAUCUACUUCCUAGAUUUGGUUGUUGAUGGUCCGAUGGCGACUUCAAUGCACAAUAGAGCUUUGAGCUCAAUCCAUGGACAUUUCUGCUUGGGCGAGAACAAGGGAGAAAACCUCAUGUUUUCUGGAAGGACGUGAGCAAUAAAGCACAGAAGCAACCACAUCAAUCCUUGGACAAUCGGUAAUGUUUAAGUUCGUAUGUUGUAUAGAUUAAAUUCAAGAUUUGUUUUCUGUUUAAGCUAUUUUAGUGAAUUGAGAUUGGAGUUUUCAUGUUGAAAACUUUGAGUUGAUUGUUUGAUAUUCAUUUCGACUGGGUGUGUUUGCCAAAUUUGUUCGGGCGUGAGCUUAUUGUGAGUUUUAUUAUGAGUUGCUUAUUUGAUAUUCCACAUUGUAGUGAUGGUUACAGGUUAUGAAAUAUUGGUUCAUGUUGCAAAUGUAUGGUGAGGCGUUGAAAAUAUGUUGCUUGCAACACUUGUGAUAUUGUGCCAGUAAAUGAAGAAUUGGAAAAAGAGAUCCUAUUUAGUUGUUUUUAUUUAACAUUAAUUUAGCAUGAUUGGUUAAUUGUUUUUUUGAGACUUGAGUUUAAAAUUCAGAUUUUGGGUCAUUUGAAUGGUUAAGAGAUGGGCUCGUUCUUUUACUAGCUUAGUGUAUCCUGGCUUUACUAAUAAUAAAUUUCCAUAUGUUGUAUUAAAUUUGUAAGGAUGUGUGCGAUUGAUGUUUCUGUUUGCGUUGCUUGAUAGAAUUUAUAAUCAAUGGACUCGACAAUAUAUGUCGUUAUGCCACCAAAAACCCAAUAUAUCAAUAGAAUAUUUUCACCGCGUUCGGAUCUUGCGAAUCAUAUUGGGCAUGUUAUUGUUUCGCACAAACCGGUUCGAGCACACCGAC
rnacentral:lncRNA from 1 species